UGAUCCUUUUUUGAGGUUACAUUCGUUUUCACGCUUGGAAUAUGUUAUAUGGUAACUUUAUGGAUGCUGCUUUGCUAAUCUUUUCCUUCCAUCUGUCAUUUGGUUUCUGACAGAAAAGUUAAAAGGCAAAACGAGGCAUCAACAAAAAUUUUACAAGGAAACUAAGAUUGAUGUUGGAAGGAGGAGGAGGCCAUGUUUUUAGGUGUUUCUUUUCCACCCACCCAAACUGAAUUAUUUGUUUGAGGGUUAAAGAGACGACCAGUACUUACUUGGGAUGUGACGCUUGUCUCUACGUGUGAUAAGAAGAAUAUAUUUUGCUAUGAUUGAGACACUAAAGAAACUCAUGCGGUGAAGAUAGAGGUUUAAUCUUAAUCUUCACAGUAACAUUAAUGAGUGAGAAUGGAUUUGUUGGGCUCAUUUGGUCUUGCAGCCCUGCAAAAGAGAUGGGUAGUGAGGUUAUUGCUUUCUGCUGGAUGAAGACAUUUAGGAGAGGGGGGAGUGAGAGGUUAGGAGUGGCUGUCUUACUCCUAAGGUCCUUGGCCAUCUUCCUUUUAUUUGUGAGUAUUUAGGUAUGAUCUUAAUUAAGGAUAAGGAUCUAUCAUCCCUAGUUUUUGUGUAUAUUCUGACAUGGAUAUGGGGUGCCACUUCUCAUCUCUAAUUGGACCUCGUGGGCCUGAUCAUAACACCUAACAUGUAUCUUUUAGCUAUGAAGUAUCAACUAAUAGAGAAGGCAAAAAAUUCUUAAUACUUUCUUCCUUCGAUUGUUUGAUUGAACAAGAAUAAACU
rnacentral:lncRNA from 1 species